CGUUUCAAAAAUUAAAAUGAAAAUGAAAUAUCACUUGGAAAGGGAGUGGUCAGGGGUUUUUGUUUGGCGUUUGAAAUUUGAAUUUCAUUUUUGAACAAUUUUAGAGAGAAGUGAAGGUUGAGAGAGAGAGUGAGAGCCCGAGAGAGUUGGAGAAAGGGAGUUCGAGAGAGAGAGGUCCGACGGAUUGCUUGCCGGAGUGCCGCCGGACAACGUUGAAGGCCGUCGGAGGUCCUCAACUCCUCCAGUCGGUUCCGAUUCACGGUCGCCGCAGCUCCGACGUUGGCGAACGAACCGAAGACGGCGUCGUCUUCCCUCCGGCCCAGCGAACUAGGUGCGCGUUCUGAGUCUCGCUUCGUCCCACCUGCUUCCCUCCCUGUGCCGGACCUUUGCAUUCACCGCCGGAGUGCCGCCGGAGUGGCGACUGCACGGUGGACGAAAAAGAGGGGUUUUCCGGGUUGUCAGUCCCACCCACACCGUAGGCAAUCGUCUCUGUUCCAACCGCCACACCUCGUGUUCACUCAAGGAUAGCGAGAAUUUUGUCGAUGACGGGAUUCAAAUUGAGCCUUUCAACCUAGAUAAAGAAACGGAAGAAGGUUAUUUUCAUGCAGCAGCCAAUUUUGUUGAAUAUGUAAGAGAGAAUGAGAUUAAGCGAUGGUGUGCAGAACAUGCAGAAGUGUAAACAAAAUGGAGGGCCCCACAUGGCUUUAUCUGACAGAGAAGCAAAAGAGUGAUGGAAGAAAUUCAUUAAAGGUUGCUAA